rnacentral:rRNA from 1 species
UACGAAGGACCCGAGCGUUAUCCGGAUUUAUUGGGUUUAAAGGGUGCGUAGGCGGACAUGCAAGUCAGUGGUGAAAUCUCUCUGCUCAACAGAGAAACUGCCAUUGAAACUAUGUGUCUUGAGUAAAUUAGAGGUAGCUGGAAUAAGUAGUGUAGCGGUGAAAUGCAUAGAUAUUACUUAGAACACCAAUUGCGAAGGCAGGUUACCAUGAUUUAACUGACGCUGAGGGACGAAAGCGUGGGGAGCGAACAGG